rnacentral:RNase_P_RNA from 1 species
GGAGCCGGUCGGGUGACCGCGGCCGCAGCGUUUGCUGCGGUCGAGGAAAGUCCGGACUCCACAGGGCAGGACGCUGGGGAAAAUCCCAGGCGGGGCGACCCGCGGAAAGUGCCACAGAAAACAGACCGCCCCGGGCAUCGCCCGAGGUAAGGGUGAAACGGUGAGGUAAGAGCUCACCAGCGCGCCGGGUGACCGGCGCGGCUCGGUAAACCCCGUCCGGAGCAAGGCCAAGCAGGAGGCAUGGGCGGCCCGUCCGCCCGGCAUGCCGGGCACCUCCGGGUAGGCCGCACGAGGUGGGUGGCAACGCCCACCCCAGAUGGAUGGUCACCGCCCCGGCCUCUGGCCGGGGUACAGAAUCCGGCUUAUAGACCGGCUCCCAUU